GGGUAUGGAAGCGGAAUAAGCCAAAAAUUAAGAUUGACCCAGUCUUCUACAAGUAUAUUUUGGGAGUUGUCAAUGAAGGUCAUCACUGGAUGCUGGUGGUGAUCAAACCUGGAGAAAAGAGAAGCGUGUUUCUCGAUCCACUUGGUGAAAGCCAAAGGAGAGUCACACAAU